UACAGAGGGUGCAAGCGUUGUUCGGAAUUAUUGGGCGUAAAGAGCUCGUAGGCGGUCUGUCGCGUCGGCUGUGAAAACCUGGGGCUUAACUCCGGGCCUGCAGCCGAUACGGGCAGACUAGAGUUCGGCAGGGGAGACUGGAAUUCCUGGUGUAGCGGUGAAAUGCGCAGAUAUCAGGAGGAACACCGGUGGCGAAGGCGGGUCUCUGGGCCGAAACUGACGCUGAGGAGCGAAAGCGUGGGGAGCAAACAGG
rnacentral:rRNA from 1 species